CCAAGCACCGGAAGUGUUUCUGAACAAGCAACAGGAUGGAGAAACCCUGGAGAGAGGAGUCAGGAGUUCCACAGUGCUCUGUCAGCCAGUGACUGGUAAUGACCUUGGACAAGCCUGCACCUCACUUCAUUUGUCCCUAAAGGAGAAAUAAAAAUAAGCAUCUACGUUCUUCUCGGGUCUCUGCUCCGAUGCUGAAGGUAAAGGUCCUGAGAAAAACCAGCAUCGACUGCAGCUGUCCUCAGGGAUACGUGUACACUCGAGAUAAGUGGUAAAUAACACCAAACAAAGAAGAAAGCCAGGGAGGAGGCUGACAGCAGGGGUGAGAGCGAUUCAGGCCUGGUGUCAGACACAGAGUGACGCUUUUGUCUUGGCCCAGGAGGGAGGCAGACAGAUGAGAUCCAGCGACUCCACGCAUAUUGGGGGUGCUCAGGAGGCUGUCUGGUUCCUCUGGAAAACCUUCUGCCAGGGAUGGGGGCGGGAGACAGCCAGGCGGCUUUCGGGCUUUCCUGGCCGGGCUUAAAAUGGGCUGGGGGUUGGACGUUCUCCUCCCAGAUUCUCCUUCCUUGCCUGGUUGGGGGGGAAUUGGGCAGGGCGAGGAGUCAGGUGCAGACGGGUCACCGUGUCACCACGCAGUAUCUCCUUUUCAGGUGAUGGCUCGUGUUUCCUGCAGGGAGAGAAGCCACAUAUCCCAGGAGGCCGGAGCCCAGCUCUCCGGUGGCUCCUUCCACCCAUUUUGGGUGGGAUUUCGUAAGAACCCGGCCCCUGUUUCUUACAUCUCUGUCCCUAGCUCCUGGGCAUGCUGAGUGAAUGGACAGGCUCUGACUGCACAGCCCUUCCGAGACGGUGCUGCCGGGCUCUGGGGGUGUGGGGCUCCUGCGAAGGUCCUGGUGCCGCCGUCAGGAUCUUCUGCUCCCCAUCAGAAGCCCGCCAGGUCAGCCCUGCAAGGAAAGGAGCUCAGCAAACUCUGAAAAGAUAUGGAGGAAACUGAACUGCACAUUGCUGAGUGACAGUCUGAAAAGCCUGCAUACUGGAUGAUUCCUAUAGUUGGAAUCAUCUGGAAAAGGCAAAACUACAGAGGAAAUAA